rnacentral:snoRNA from 1 species
GUUUGAAUGAUGACUUGAUUGUCGGAUACCCCUUCACUCCGUUUAUGAGUGAUAAAUGAUAGUCUGACAAAC